rnacentral:rRNA from 1 species
GCCUACGGGGGGCAGCAGUGGGGGAUAUUGCACAAUGGGGGGAACCCUGAUGCAGCGACGCCGCGUGGGUGAAGAAGCGCCUCGGCGCGUAAAGCCCUGUCAGCAGGGAAGAAAAUGACGGUACCUGAAGAAGAAGCCCCGGCUAACUACGUGCCAGCAGCCGCGGUAAUACGUAGGGGGCAAGCGUUAUCCGGAUUUACUGGGUGUAAAGGGAGCGGAGACGGCGAGGUAAGCCUGAAGUGGAAGCCCGCGGCCCAACCGCGGAACUGCUUUGGGAACUGUUUUGCUGGAGUAUGGGAGGGGUG